GUCAAAAUGUUUAUACAUAUAGAGUGGCAGAUCUAUCGAGUAUAUAAUAUUAAGCCUAUACCGACUCCAAACAACCCUAACCUUGCAGAGGAAAAAAUUCCUAUAUCAGGGCCGAAUCAAACAUACCUAAAUUCCCCAAAAAAAUCUUCCUCAUCCUUCCAAACUUUACCCGACUCCAAAUAAUUUCGUUGAUAAGGGUAAAUGCCCAUAAGCAAUUUUUCAUUUCGUGGUUUAUGUGAUAAAAUAAGACUUUUUCAAUUGAAUAUAUUGUUGAAGGAACGUACUAUUUAAGAGGUUUUUAUUAGUUUUUCCCCAGAUCCUUUUGUUGGUAAAGAAAUAAUGGCUUUUAAACAUGUCCUAAAACUUUCCGCCAUCAGUGCUUUUAUAAAUGACAAUAAAAUUAUAAAAAGGGGUGAAAACGCCUUAGAGUCUAGUCAUGUAAAGAAAAUGGACUUUGACUCUGAUUAGCAAGUAAUCAGAGGGGAAGUAUUUGUUAAUAUGAAAGACAAAAGCUACAAGGUGUCUAUAGUGUUGGAAAAGAAUGGUGACAUUAAAGAAGCCACCUACGCUUGUCCCAGGGGUAUAAAAUGCCAUCACAUUGCGGCGUUGGCACUUUUUGGGCAUUGCAAUAUAUCUGUAACAGAUAAAGCUGUUGUGUUGUUGAUGAUCAGCUAAUAAAAGAAAUUUCUGUCAUCACUAAUGGUAAAGUGUCAAAUGAAAAAUUGUACAUUGCAAGAAAAUUUAGAUUAACUGCUAGUAACUUUGGUGCUAUUAUUGCAGCAUGCAGAAGAAACAGAUUCCCAGUGAGUUUGUUCAACACACUCUUAGGUGAGUAAUAAAUCAUAAAUUUAUUACAUAGUUUAGUCAUAGAUGUUAUCAAUAAUUUGCUUAUUGAGCAUCUAAGAUUGGUUUUUCAAAAAGUAGUCUUUUCAAAAAUGGUAUUUUAUGUAGCAUUUCCUUACUUUAGUUUAAUUUGACAUACACUUUUAUUAUAAUCAAUUCAUUAUUUUUCCAAGUGAAUACAAUUUGGAUGGUAUCAAAGCAAUUCAGUGGGGUAGAACUCAUGAAUAAUAUGCUCUAGAUCAUUUGAAGCAGAUUUAUAAUUUAAAUAUUCGGCCAACUGGAGUAUAGCUUACAAACUCGGGACUUCUUGGUGCUAGCACUCAUGGAAUAAUUUAUGAAGAAGAAGCCACUGUAGAAGUGAAAUUGCCCAUAUUCUUUUAGAAAUGAUAAGUUGUCCGAAAAAUUGAGGAAUUUUAAUAAGUAUACAGUUUUUUAUGACGAUGAGGGUAACUUGAUAUUAAAUACAAGUCACACUUAUUAACACAAAAUUCAAGGAGCUUUACAUAUUUUAAAAAAGAAAAAAUGUCACUUAUGUAUUUAUACCUUGAAGGAAACAGUUGUGACAAUUGUAGAUUUUAAUGAUUCAUGGAAAGAAAACAUUUCACUCUUGGAAAAUUUCUAUAUAGAACAAUACUUACCAAAGUUGUUAGACAAUUAAAUGAAAAUUUUUGACAUGAUUUUCAAUGUGAUUUUAAGUUAUUGUCCAGUGUUAGCAGAUAGAGUAUACAGUUGGAAAAAUCUUUACUAUUUAUUUUAAACUGAAAAGCCACUCUAUACAAAUUUUCGUUUGCUGAGGAUAUCAGGAAAUUAUGUUUUUUAAUAUAAAUGUACAAUGCCAUUUUGUCAAUAAAGAUUUUUGAAACAAACUUUAGUUAUUUUAAAUUGCUGUAUUGAAUGUACUAUAGUUGAGUGAUUUUUUUUCUGUACACAAAACUUGUAAAAUAAACUAAAACACUGCUUGUGGCUCGAUAAUUUAUUUGAUGAUUGUAAAGACUGUAGUCUACUGACAAUAAAUUAAAUAGUAUUUGUUUACUCUAUGAAAAUUGUGAUAGGAUUUACAGGCUUUUAUUGAAUUAGAAAAACAGUAUUAUUAUUACUUUUAACAAUAAUUGUAUUGGAUCAAGUAAUUUAUAAAUUAAGUAAAAAAGUUUGGUUGUAGGUCAUGGUAGUGGCUCACUUGAAGGACCUAGUAGUGGUUCGGUUGAAAGUCUUGGUAGCAGCUCGGUCACAAGGUGUUUACAGUUCGUUUCCUAAAAAAAGUGGUUUAUUAGACUAAUGGACUUUCUACAACAAAAUGCAUAUCUUUUUUCUGGUAAUUUUAUAUUAAACUUCCUCUGAAUAUUGAAAUCAAAUAAAGUUGGCCCAUUCUCUUUUUCUUUAUUUAAAAAGUGACAAUCGCACACUUUUGCAAAUUUACUUGGAUCUGUAUAUUUUCUUCUAUAAAUAAAUAAAUUUAAAACAUAAAUCUUUGAAAA